rnacentral:rRNA from 1 species
AUUGAACGCUGGCGGCAUGCCUUACACAUGCAAGUCGAACGGCAGCACGGGUGCUUGCACCUGGUGGCGAGUGGCGAACGGGUGAGUAAUACAUCGGAACAUGUCCUGUAGUGGGGGAUAGCCCGGCGAAAGCCGGAUUAAUACCGCAUACGAUCUACGGAUGAAAGCGGGGGACCUUCGGGCCUCGCGCUAUAGGGUUGGCCGAUGGCUGAUUAGCUAGUUGGUGGGGUAAAGGCCUACCAAGGCGACGAUCAGUAGCUGGUCUGAGAGGACGACCAGCCACACUGGGACUGAGACACGGCCCAGACUCCUACGGGAGGCAGCAGUGGGGAAUUUUGGACAAUGGGCGAAAGCCUGAUCCAGCAAUGCCACGUGUGUGAAGAAGGCCUUCGGGUUGUAAAGCACUUUUGUCCGGAAAGAAAUCCUUGGCUCUAAUACAGUCGGGGGAUGACGGUACCGGAAGAAUAAGCACCGGCUAACUACGUG